UGCCCAGCAACUCCUAUCCCUACCUCCACGCGGUAUCGACCGGAAACUAUGAGCAACCUUAGGGAAGAUCGGGUAACCAACCCCGGUGAGAACUUUGGUCGUAGGCUGACAGGGAAGG
rnacentral:ribozyme from 1 species